rnacentral:lncRNA from 1 species
CAGAACAAGAGGCCAUGGGUCAGUUUUUCAUCCCUUCUGUGACAUAGAUGGGGAAACACUCCUGGCCAAGAGAAGUGCUGAACAUCCUGCUGGUUUGUGGAUCGUCUUUUUGAGCAGCUCCUCCCAUGUCACCUGGGGACAUGCCUGAAGUGAGAAUGCCUUAUGGCCAAAAGAAAAUGAUGGCAGAGAGCUAGUUAGAGUAACAAGAAGAACAGUGUAGCUGUAAGUCAACAU